UCUAUAUAUUUGAAAAAGUGGUUUCCACGUGCUACAUCUUGAUCGUUUGACGUUGGCAUCGUCAUCCCAUCGGUUCAUCGUUUUCUGCCAUCUCUCCAUUCACCGCUUCGUCUGCUUUUUCACCAUCUGAUUGAUAUCUUCUGCUUCAUUCCUUCAUACGUGUUCUUCCAAACCAACCCACAAAUGUUUAUGUGGGUUUCCCCAUCUGCUUAAACGAACCACAGAAAAACGCAGAUGCUCACCGCACCACAGGUCGAGACGUACAUCGAUUUUUUGAGGGAUGGAAGAAGCAAGGGUCGGCACACACACAUAUAAACGGUCUCUCUUCAGCUUCUACUAUGUCACUGCUUCUUCAACACUCGAUCAAAGAAAGGUCCAUCUAAUUCACUGUCAUCGUCAAGUUCAUCAGGCGGUAUUCCUUCGAUUCUCUGUUUCUAUUUCAAUAUCACAUAAAAAAUUUGUGGUUUACAACGAUUGGAGUUAGUUUUCAGACGCAUGUUGAUGUUUUUUUCGCUCUUUCUCUUUCUGCUCCUCUGAUAAAAGCUCUUUCUUCCUCCUUUUCCACUGCCUCAAAUGCUCCACCUUCUCUCGAGCCCUAGAUGUCACCGCCAACGGAACGCCGUCAUGUACACAUAUGGUGCAACCUACGUCGCCGUCACCAACGCCUGAUUACAACAACCCUAACGCCAUCAACAGCGGAGGCGGAGAUUCUGGUGAAAACAAUUACGCGUUAUGACAGGGAUCAACGUCAAUGGAAACGCUGUAGUGAAGCGGAAGAGAGGAAGGCCGAGAAAGUACGCGUCUGAUGUCUCUACGGCUCCGACGGCGGCACUGUAUGGUCCAGAGGCUGCACAAUCCGAAUCACCUGAGUUUGGAAAUUGGAUGUUCCUGCUUGAGUAGUUGAGUUUCCGUUUUCUCCUUCCUUUACAACUCACGGUCUGGUCGUCUUUCCCGAUGGAGGAUUUAAAGGUACUCAAGAAGAACUCCUUACGAAUGUCAAUUUUGUCUGUAUCGUCGUUUCUCCAUCUGGUAUGUAAGACUGCAACGCCCUGUGCCCACCAACUGUUUGAUAAAAUUCCUGUUAUUGUUCAUCUUCCCUUUUCAUUUUUUCUUAGUUUUAUAAUAAUGAGUAUUGAAUCAAAACUUUUUUAGAUGAUUCAAUUUCAUCAUAUUCCAACUGUUAAUGCAUAUUUGUGAUGGAUUAGUUCAUCACCAUUCAUGUAGCUGUGAUAUGACAUCAUAAUUAAGCACCUCCAAAUCCAUACUUCUUACCAAAGAUGAUGAGCUGGAGUUUGUCAUAACCAGAAAUCACACCAGCACUAGCAAUGUCACGAAGAAGUACUUCACUUCCUCACCUGAUGUCAUCAUCAUUCUUCUACGAAUAGUGUCAAUUAGGUAAGAUGCAAGUCCUGCUCCAUUUGUGAUCACCCAACCAAGUGCAAAGCUAGCGAAGAAACUACCCUGAAAAAAUGUGUCUCAAUCGGUCCACAUUAGUAUUUAAGGGUAAAUUCAAAAGACUAUAACGUAAAUUUCCCAAAUAUUAUCGAUUUAGCUACUAAAUUAUUCUAUAAUAUUCAUAAAAAUAUAAUAGUUCUGUCCAUAAAUCUAUCAUAAAAUGAUAAGAGCAAAAGGAAGAAAAAAAUAAUGUAGUUUCACCAUCACAUCAUUUUAGCAACAUAACUAUUUUAUAUAAAAGAUUAAACUCUUAUUACAUUUUUUACCAUUAGAAAAAACCUAUUUUCUCACUUACCCAAAGUUUAACCUCAAUGAAAACAAACAGAGAAAAACACAUUGUAUUUUCACCGUUUUAAGAUGUUGUCCAUUUAGUGCCAUGCAGAGACAAUUUGAACAAUUCUGCCAACUAAGCACCAUGUUGGAUGCCAUGUCAUACUUUUGAAUCUUCUCCAAUAGUAUAAUUGAAAAUCACAUUAGAUGUUUAUUUUGGUAUUAUAUACAAUCAAAUGAUUGGGGAUUUAACGAAUUGUGAACAGUGUUUCUUUCCUAGAUAUAGCAUAUAUCUUAAGUAAGUUCUCUUUCCCAUUUCAUUAUAAAAUCUUUAUUAUUGCCAUUUUGACGUUUUUUUUCGUAGCUUGAUGUUAUAUGUGUAACAGAAGGAACUGAAGCAUGGGUUGAGAAGCUCAAGUAAGUUUGAAUUUUACUAUUCUCAUGGUGUUUAUACUUUAUCUAAUCUUGAAUUACUAUUUUACCCUUGUGUUUUCUUUUAAUGCAAAGGUGGGGGCCUUGUGAAAUUGUUGAAUUACUAUUUUACCCAAUGUCGAAACUAGAUAAUUUUGCCAAUUUGCUUUAAUUGCAGGGAUUCGAAAUGAAAAUUCUACAUUCUUCACAGAAUAUGAUCCCAUUUGAAAAGUGGGUGGAAAUUGUCAAAUUGUUGAGAGAUAAGGGAUUCGAAACGAACAUUUUCCUUUCUUCUCCAAUGUGAUACCAGAUGCGAACGGAACGCAUCAUGAGUCAAAUUCUCAAUUCACAAAAUUUAUCACAAAUCAAAAUCACAAGGCAAAAGUCGAACCAUUCCAAACACUUAACUCGAAAUCAAACCGGCUAAAAUCAAUUUCGACUCCAAGCAUAAGUGUUCGAUGCGAACGAUCCCAAGAAACCCGUUCAUCAUCAAGACCCCAUCAGUCAAAUUCCAUUCGACUAUUAACCUCAAAUUGUUCGACUUCUAAAUCCAUUUACUAGUUGAUACUUGACUCAAACAAUAAUAUCGAUUUCGACCUCCAAACAUAAACAUUCGACUUGACACAACAUAACGUCAAUUUCGAUUUGAACUCAAAUGAUUAAAUCGACCCUUAUGCGAACAGAAAUACAACAGUCGAACACAAUUUUGACUCCAAAUAAGGUCGUUCGACACUUCAUAGACUAGGACACAAAAACACCUAUCAAUAAUCGAAGUCGAUUUCGACUCCAAAACACUUGCCAUCAAAUCGAAUCAAAUUCGUGUUUCAGAUGCGAACAAACUCUAGUAAAGGCUUUCGACUCCAAGAACACUAACCCCAAGCAAUUUCGACUAUGCGACCACUAACUCUAAUCAAAGUUAAUUUUGAUUUCUGUCAAUUCCGUUUGACCCAAGGAGUUGAACGUUCCUGAUGCGAAUUAAACAACCUCUGCAACAGUUGAAUACGACCUCGACUCCAAAUCAAUGAUUUUCAAUUUCAAUUUCUAUUAUGACCAUCCAUCUAAAAUUCGUUUCCAGUACGUGAAUGAGGAACGAUAUCAGUAGAGUUCGUUGUCGACUUUUGUCACAACAACAUGAUAUUUUCUUUCCAGUCAAUAAAAGUCAAACCCGAUAAAUAAAAUUUGAACUUUUAUUAAAAUUCAUGACGGUUAGAAAAUAGGGUUUUUUCCAAAAUAGACCUUAUAUUUGCAGUUUUUUCUAUUUAAACAAAAAACUUUAUUUAUUUCCUAAAAAGAAGGAUGUUCCUUGUUAUUUAUUAUGCAUAACCGGUUGACUAGUCAAUACGUACCCUUUCUUUUCUUGCAUACCCUUUCUUUUCUACACUCGCUAGGUUUCAUUCGUUCGCUUCAAGAUACACAAGUCGAUAUGAAAAUCUAUGGCUUUUUCUGAAAUCGCACAACAAGAAAGCCAUAACAUCCAAUUCUUAGUUCCAUAAAUCGCACAAGAAGGCUAUGGCAUCCAGGAAUCAAUAAAUCCUCGAAAAUGUCAUCUUCUUCAAAUAUCAAGAGCAUCAGAAGUAGAAGGAUAGUAAGGAAUGGUGAAGUUGAAUUGUGCAAGUGUAAUGAAGAAGCUCUUAUGUUUACAUCAUGGAGUCCUCGAAAAUGUCAUCUUCUUCAAAUAUCAAGAGCAUCAGAAGUAGAAGGAUAGUAAGGAAUGGUGAAGUUGAAUUGUGCAAGUGUAAUGAAGAAGUUCUUAUGUUUACAUCAUGGACUGCAAAGAAUCCUGGUAGAAGAUUUUAUGGAUGUCCAAAUUACAAGGAUGAAAGUAUGAAUUGCAAGUAUUUCAUGUGGAUUGAUGAUGAACUUACAAUCCAAAGGUACAAGGAUCUACUCUUCAAUAUGCACCAUGAUAUGAAGGGUAUGGAAGAUGAGAUCAAAGAAUUAAAGUUAAAGUUGAAGAAAAAAAGCGUGUUUGGAAUGUGAAGAACGAAGAGUAAAGUAUGUUAGGAUUGUGGUAUUCUUGGUAGUUGUCUUGACAUUUGUCAUUUUAAGGUUGUGUUACUUUUGAUGAAUUAAGGUUGUCUUGACAUUGGUCAUCUUAAGGCUGGUUAUGUUUUGUAUGACAAAAUAGUUGGUUAUGUUUUGUAUGAGAAUAUAAGUACUUUUCUAUAUAUGUUAUUUUCAGUUUUCAAUUU